ensembl:lncRNA
CAAUGUGGAUAAAACUAAUGUGGCACUAUAAAACUGAUCACACAGAAAUAUUACAUUAAAAAUCAUAGAACAGAAAAUAUUUUCACUGUUGAUUUCAGUAAGCAUCUCAUCGUAUGCCAAUUUAAUAAUGUGAAGAACAUUUUAUUUACCUGAGCUGUGAGAUAUAAGGCAGACACUGCAGGAAACUCCUCACUUCACUCUCUUCAUGUGAGCAGCCUGUCAGCUUCACUUGUUUCUUCUCUGGUUGGAGUUUCAGCACUUCCAGGAGGAUGGAGGUCUUUCUCUCUGAGAGGUUUAUGGACCAGACUGCAGGAGCUGACUGGAAAACUGACUGUAAUGAUGGAAGGACACUCAAGCCUGUUUUCGAUGUAUAAUAGUACAGGUCCAUGAGAAAAUCACACCAUAUCUCCUUCAGAGGGAAUCCUUUAUAUCUGCACACUGAUGAUAACAGCUCCAGUAUCUUCUCUCCUGUCUGCUGUUCUCUCUCUGCUGCUGCACAGAACAGAUUCCCAAAGAACCUGACUGCUUCUGAUGAUUCUGAUGAUGUAGUAC